rnacentral:rRNA from 1 species
GAUGAACGCUGGCGGCGUGCCUAAUACAUGCAAGUCGAGCGAACGGACGAGAAGCUUGCUUCUCUGAUGUUAGCGGCGGACGGGUGAGUAACACGUGGAUAACCUACCUAUAAGACUGGGAUAACUUCGGGAAACCGGAGCUAAUACCGGAUAAUAUUUUGAACCGCAUGGUUCAAAAGUGAAAGACGGUCUUGCUGUCACUUAUAGAUGGAUCCGCGCUGCAUUAGCUAGUUGGUAAGGUAACGGCUUACCAAGGCAACGAUGCAUAGCCGACCUGAGAGGGUGAUCGGCCACACUGGAACUGAGACACGGUCCAGACUCCUACGGGAGGCAGCAGUAGGGAAUCUUCCGCAAUGGGCGAAAGCCUGACGGAGCAACGCCGCGUGAGUGAUGAAGGUCUUCGGAUUGUAAAACUCUGUUAUUAGGGAAGAACAUAUGUGUAAGUAACUGUGCACAUCUUGACGGUACCUAAUCAGAAAGCCACGGCUAACUACGUGCCAGCAGCCGCGGUAAUACGUAGGUGGCAAGCGUUAUCCGGAAUUAUUGGGCGUAAAGCGCGCGUAGGCGGUUUUUUAAGUCUGGUGUGAAAGCCCACGGCUCAACCGUGGAGGGUCAUUGGAAACUGGAAAACUUGAGUGCAGAAGAGGAAAGUGGAAUUCCAUGUGUAGCGGUGAAAUGCGCAGAGAUAUGGAGGAACACCAGUGGCGAAGGCGACUUUCUGGUCUGUAACUGACGCUGAUGUGCGAAAGCGUGGGGAUCAAACAGGAUUAGAUACCCUGGUAGUCCACGCCGUAAACGAUGAGUGCUAAGUGUUAGGGGGUUUCCGCCCCUUAGUGCUGCAGCUAACGCAUUAAGCACUCCGCCUGGGGAGUACGACCGCAAGGUUGAAACUCAAAGGAAUUGACGGGGACCCGCACAAGCGGUGGAGCAUGUGGUUUAAUUCGAAGCAACGCGAAGAACCUUACCAAAUCUUGACAUCCUUUGACAACUCUAGAGAUAGAGCUUUCCCCUUCGGGGGACAAAGUGACAGGUGGUGCAUGGUUGUCGUCAGCUCGUGUCGUGAGAUGUUGGGUUAAGUCCCGCAACGAGCGCAACCCUUAAGCUUAGUUGCCAUCAUUAAGUUGGGCACUCUAAGUUGACUGCCGGUGACAAACCGGAGGAAGGUGGGGAUGACGUCAAAUCAUCAUGCCCCUUAUGAUUUGGGCUACACACGUGCUACAAUGGACAAUACAAAGGGCAGCGAAACCGUGAGGUCAAGCAAAUCCCAUAAAGUUGUUCUCAGUUCGGAUUGUAGUCUGCAACUCGACUACAUGAAGCUGGAAUCGCUAGUAAUCGUAGAUCAGCAUGCUACGGUGAAUACGUUCCCGGGUCU